rnacentral:rRNA from 1 species
GCUUAAGCAUAUCAAUAAGCGGAGGAAAAGAAACUAACAAGGAUUCCCAUAGUAACGGCGAGUGAAGCGGGAUGAGCUCAAAUUUGAAAUCUGGCGGUCUAAGGCCGUCCGAGUUGUAAUCUAGAGAGGUGUUUUCCGUGCCGGACCGUGUACAAGUCCCUUGGAACAGGGCGUCAUAGAGGGUGAGAAUCCCGUCCAUGACACGGACUACCGGUGCUCUGUGAUACACCUUCAAAGAGUCGAGUUGUUUGGGAAUGCAGCUCAAAACGGGUGGUAAAUUCCAUCUAAAGCUAAAUACAGGCGAGAGACCGAUAGCGAACAAGUACCGUGAGGGAAAGAUGAAAAGAACUUUGGAAAGAGAGUUAAACAGUACGUGAAAUUGUUGAAAGGGAAACGCUUGAAGUCAGUCGCGUCCGCAGGGACUCAGCCUUGCUUUUGCUUGGUGCACUUCUCUGUGGAUGGGCCAGCAUCGAUUUUGGUUGCCGGAAAAGGGCGGGAGGAAUGUGGCAGCUUUUAGCUGUGUUAUAGCCUCUUGUCGUACACGGUGGCCGGGAUCGAGGACUGCAGCACGCCUUUGGUCGGGGUUUGCCCACGCCACGUGCUUAGGAUGCUGGCGUAAUGGCUUUAAACGACCCGUCUUGAAACACGGACCAAGGAGUCUAACAUGCCUGCGAGUGUUUGGGUGCGAAACCCAGGCGCGUAAUGAAAGUGAAAAGUUGGGACUCUUUAGUGAGGCACCGACGCCCGAACCUGAAGUCUUCUGACGGUUUUGAGGCAGAGCAUGUAUGUUGGGACCCGAAAGAUGGUGAACUAUGCCUGAAUAGGGUGAAGCCAGAGGAAACUCUGGUGGAGGCUCGUAGCGAUUCUGACGUGCAAAUCGAUCGUCAAAUUUGGGUAUAGGGGCGAAAGACUAAUCGAACCAUCUAGUAGCUGGUUCCUGCCGAGCUCCCUCUCCGCAGAAUAUACA